UACGAAGGGGGCUAGCGUUGUUCGGAAUUACUGGGCGUAAAGCGCACGUAGGCGGAUAUUUAAGUCAGGGGUGAAAUCCCAGAGCUCAACUCUGGAACUGCCUUUGAUACUGGGUAUCUUGAGUAUGGAAGAGGUAAGUGGAAUUGCGAGUGUAGAGGUGAAAUUCGUAGAUAUUCGCAAGAACACCAGUGGCGAAGGCGGCUCACUGGCCCGAUACUGACGCUGAGGCACGAAAGCGUGGGGAG
rnacentral:rRNA from 1 species